rnacentral:snRNA from 1 species
AUACUUACCUGGCGUAGAGAUAACCGUGAUCAACAAGGCGGUUUCUCCAGGGCGAGGCCUGUCCAUUGCACUUCGGACGGGUUGACCCUUGCGAAUAUCCCUAAUGUGGAUAUCUCGGACGUAUUAUUUUUGGUAGCCGGGACUGCGUUCGCGCUAUCCCGA